UUGAAUUCUCAACUUGAGAGUUUGAUCCUGGCUCAGAACGAACGCUGGCGGCAGGCUUAACACAUGCAAGUCGAAC
rnacentral:rRNA from 1 species